AUUGAACGCUGGCGGAAUGCUUUACACAUGCAAGUCGAGCGGCAGCACGGGGGUAACCCUGGUGGCGAGCGGCGAACGGGUGAGUAAUACAUCGGAACAUGCCCAGUCGUGGGGGAUAACACUUCGAAAGAAGUGCUAAUACCGCAUACGUCCUGAGGGAGAAAGCGGGGGAUCGCAAGACCUCGCGCGAUUGGAGUGGCCGAUGUCAGAUUAGCUAGUUGGUGGGGUAAAGGCCUACCAAGGCAACGAUCUGUAGCUGGUCUGAGAGGAUGAUCAGCCACACUGGGACUGAGACACGGCCCAGACUCCUACGGGAGGCAGCAGUGGGGAAUUUUGGACAAUGGGGGCAACCCUGAUCCAGCCAUUCCGCGUGAGUGAAGAAGGCCUUCGGGUUGUAAAGCUCUUUCGGCAGGAACGAAACGGUGAGCUCUAACAUAGCUUGCUAAUGACGGUACCUGAAGAAGAAGCACCGGCUAACUAAGUG
rnacentral:rRNA from 1 species